GAGCUCAAUGGCAGAACACCUGCUUUGCAUGCAGAAGGUCCCAAGUUUAAUCCCUGUGCAUCUCCA